GUCUCUCCCCACACCUCCUCCCACUCCCGGCAGCCCGGCAGGGAAGGGGUUAGCACCGGGCAGGGCUCCGGGAGCCGGGCGGGCUCGCUGGGCGCCGGGGCAGUGCGGCAGUGCAGCCUCCGGGAGGAAGCGGGAGCAUCCCGCUCUUCCGGCCGCGCUAAUGGCCGGGCGCGGGGGACCCGCAUCCCCCCGAGGGGUUUCCACCCUCCCGGCUGCUUUUUUCCCUAAAUGCAUCCCCCUCCUCCCUUCCCCUCGCCCCUUUUCGUGCGAGCGCUUUCACGGGCGAUUUUCCACGCUCCGCUGAUCGCUCGCCCGCGACCCGCGCGGGGUUUUCGCUGCCUGCUGAAGAUUGAUGGGACUGCAGCAAUAAAACUGUGGUUGAGACAUCCCCCGAGGGGGAUAAAACCCCGGCGAGCCGCUGCUAAAGGGGGGAUCCCAGCCGGUUUUUGUGGGGGGGCUUUUCCUCAGCAUCUCCCGCCGACACCGUUCCUGAAGAUUUUCCACCCAAAGCGGUGCCUCCGGUAUUUUCCCGGGAAGGACGCGAUGUUCGUGCCCUGCUAAGCAGCCCGUGGCUCCGGCCCUGGCACCGGUGCCACCUCUGCUGCCGUUCGUGAAGAUUUUCCACCCAAAGCGGUGCCUCCGGUAUUUUCCCGGGAAGGACGCGAUGUUCGUGCCCUGCUAAGCAGCCCGGGGCUCCGGCCCCGGCACGGGUGCCAACCUCUGCUGCCAAGCGGGGACGAUGGGUGGAUGAAUCGGCAAAGAGAACCUCGUUCCCUCAACCUCCCCCUGCUCGGAGAGGGGCUGGCCAGGAUUUACCGCGGCAUCCUGGCCGUGGUGGCAGCGCUGCGCCCGCCCAAGGAGCCGCCCGCAGCCCCGGCCGAGCGGAGCGCUGCCCCCUCCGUGCCCGCCGAGCGCCGUGGGAGCCGCGCUGUGCCCGCGGAUCCCGACAGGACGAGCUCGCACAUGAUCUCCGCGGACGAUGCCGAGUACCCGCGGGAGUACCGCACCCUGGGCAACGGCACCCGGCGCUUCUCCAACGUGGGGCUGGUGCACACCUCGGAGCGCCGGCACACCGUGAUCGCCGCCCAGAGCCUGGAGGCGCUCACCGGCCUCCAGAAGACGGAGAUGGAGCGCAAGAGGGACGCCUUCAUGGACCACCUGAAGAGCAAGUACCCGCAGCACGCCCUGGCGCUGCGCGGGCAGCAGGAGCGCCUGCGGGACCAGCAACCCAACUACUGGAGCUUUAAGACCAGGAGCUCCCGGCACUCCCAGGGCUCCCAGCCUGGCCUGGCCGACCAAGCCAAGCUCUCCUUCGCCUCGGCCGAAUCCCUGGAGACCAUGUCGGAGGCGGAGCUGCCGCUGGCCUUCAACAGGAUGAACCGGUUCCGGCAGAGCCUGCCCCUGUCCCGCUCGGCCAGCCAGACCAAGCUUCGAUCCCCAGGGGUGCUGUUCCUGCAGUUUGGGGACGAGACCAGGCGGGUGCACAUCACGCACGAGAUCAGCAGCAUGGACACCCUGCACGCCCUCAUCGUGCACAUGUUCCCGCAGAAGCUCACCAUGGGCAUGCUCAAGUCCCCCAACACCGCCAUCCUCAUCAAGGACGAGUCACGAAACGUCUUCUACGAGCUGGAGGAUGUCCGAGACAUCCAGGACAGAAGCAUCAUUAAAAUCUACCGGAAAGAGCCGCUCUACGCCUCGUUCCCAGCCUCACACAUCACCAACGGCGACCUGAGGCGAGACAUGGUCUACACAUCCCGGGAAUCCUCUCCCACCCGCCGGCUCAACAACAUCUCCCCGGCCUCCCACCUGGCCUCCGGCUCCCCUCCGCCCGUGCUCCAGUCCUCGUCACCGUCCCGCUCCCGCAUGUCCUACAGCGGCGGCCGCCCGCCCUCGUACGCCGGCAGCCCCGUCCACCACGGCGAGCGCCUGUCCAGCCUGCCCCCGGCCCAGGGCGUGUCCCCCAGCCCCAGCGCCAUCCUGGAACGCCGCGACGUCAAGCCGGACGAGGACCUGGCGGGCAAGAACGUGGUGCUGGUGAAGAACGAGGGGCUCUACGCCGAUCCCUACGGGAUGGUGCACGAGGGGCGGCUCAGCAUCACCUCCACGCAGUCGCUGGCAGGCAUGGGGGACCCCUUCGGCUACUCGGGGGGGCUCUACAAGCGGGGGUCAGUGCGGUCACUCAGCACCUACUCGGCGGCCGCGCUGCAGACGGAGCUGGAGGACAGUUUGUACAAGCCCAACGCGCCCAUCUACAGCGACACGUACGGCCCCGGGCUGGGCUUCCGCAUGCCGCCCUCGUCCCCACAGAAGAUGGUGGAGCCCGGGCAGAGCCCGCACAGCCCCUACUCGGGCCCGCCGAGCCGCUCCUCGCCUGUCCGGCAGUCCUUCCGCAAGGAUUCCUGCUCCUCCGUCUUCAUGGACAGCCCCGUGGGCAAAACGCGCAACCCCAGCUCGUCCGGGCCCCCCGAGAUGUUCCCCGGCCCUGGAGAGCGGCCACUCUCGGGAUUCGGAUCGCCCGGACCGGCCAAGGACACGGAGACCAGGGAGCGGAUGGAGGCCAUGGAGAAGCAGAUCGCCAGCCUGACGGGGCUGGUGCAGAGCGCGCUGCUCCGCGGCUCCGAGGCCGAGACCCCCAGUGAGAAGACCGAAGCCACCAACGGCGGGACCCCCCCAUCAGCGUCCACCAGCCGCAGCGGCAUGGGCACCCCGGUGCCCGCGCCGCCACCGCCCUCGGCCACCAGCACCCCGGCGGGGCAGCCCACGGCCAUCACCCGCCUGCACAUGCAGCUGCACCUGCACGACCUGCAGCAGAACGCCAGCGACCUCCGCAACCAGCUGCAGCAGCUCAAGAAGCUGCAGCUGCAGAACCAGGAGACGGUGAAGUCGCUGCUGCGGCGGACGGAGACGGAGAUCAGCGUGCGGGUGACGGACACGAUGCGCAAGCACGAGGACCCUCUGCAGCGCCAGCGCAGCUUGGUGGAGGAGGAGCGGCUGCGCUACCUCAACGAGGAGGAGCUCAUCACCCAGCAGCUCAAUGACCUGGAGAAGGCCAUGGAGAAGUUCCAGCGGGAUCUGGCGCACAGCCCCCGGCUGAUCCCGGCACAGGAGCUGGAGGAAAAGGCCGCGGUGCUCAAGCAGCUGGGGGAGACCCUGACAGACCUCAAGGCCCAGUUCCCCAGCCUGCAGAGCAAGAUGCGCGUGGUGCUGCGGGUGGAGGUGGAGGCUGUCAAGUUCCUCAAGGAGGAGCCCAACCGCCUGGACGGGCUCCUCAAGCGCUGCAGAACCGUCACCGACACCCUGGCCCAGAUCCGCAGACAAGUGGACGAGGGCGUGUGGAGCUCGCCCAGCAGCCUGAGCCAGUCGCCCAAGAAGGUGGCCCCGGAGACGGAUUUCGGCAAAGCGCUGGAGCUGGAGAUGCCCACCAGCCCCCCGGUCAGCCUGCACCACCUGACGGGCACCGCCGAGCCCCUGGGCGUGCCCGGCUUCGCCCCCCAGCCCCAGAGCCACGCGGGCAAGAGCAAUAACCCCUCCCGGGCCCCCGAGAUGGUGCCCGCCAAGACGCAGACGGCGCCGGAGACCGCCGGCAAGAAGAGCGCAGACAAAGCCGUGUCCGUGGAGGCAGCGGAGCGGGACUGGGAGGAGAAACGAGCAGCGCUCACCCAGUACAGCGCCAAGGACAUCAACCGGCUCCUGGAGGAGACCCAGGCCGAGCUCAUGAAGGCCAUCCCCGACCUGGAAUUCGCCGCCAAGCACAAACCAACCCCGGGCAGCGGCAGCGCCGCCUCCACGCCCGAGCACAAACCCUCCAAGCCGCAGCACGCCCCCAAAUCGGGGGGCAAAGGGGACCCCAACGGCCGCCGGGGCUCAGACGAGCUGACGGUGCCGCGGUACCGCACCGAGAAACCCUCCAAAUCGCCGCCGCCUCCCCCGCCCCGCCGGAGCUUCCCCUCGUCGCACGGGCUGACCACGACCCGCAGCGGCGAGGUCAUCGUCACCAGCAAGAAGGAGCCCGGCUUUAUGAAGAAGGCGGAGUCGGAGGAGCUGGAGACGCCGAAGCCGCCGGUGAAGCUGCGGCGGGCGGUGUCCGAGGUGGCCCGGCCGGCCUCCACCCCGCCCGCCAUCGCCUCGGCCGGCAAGGACGACGACGACGAGGAGCGGAUCCUGGCCGAGCUGGAGGUGUUUCAGCGGAGCUCUGCCUCCCCUUCCCCCCCCGCGCCCCGCUGGGACCCCCUCGAGGCCGCGUCCCCGGGUCGCUCCGAGCCGCGGCCCGACAGAGCCGAAGGACGGAAGAGCGGCGGCGUCUCCAUCCCGGCGAUGAAGGUGGUGAAUCCGGCGUCGCGGCUGAAGCAGGGCCAGCAGGGCAGCCCCGACAAGGGCAAGCACAUCAAGCAGCGCAUGGAAUACAUGCGGAUCCAGGGCCAGCAGCAGAGCUCUCAGAGCUUCCCCCCACCAGCCUCCAGCCAGGAGCAGCUUCCAGCUCCCACCUCGCGGAAAACCGGGAAGCAGCGGCGCCCGAAGACGCCCCCGGAGCGACCCCCGGAGCGACCCCCGAGCGGCCCGGGCGCCGCCGCGGUGUCCCCGCGGGAGGAGCGGACAGCCCCGGCCGCGGCUCCCCGCGGGGCGCCCGCCGAGGCCGAAGGCUCAGGGACAUCCCGGCUCCUCCUCACCUCCGCCGCCGCCGCGCCCGGCUCCCCUCGGGGGGCACCGGGGGGUCCCCGGGAGUGCCGGAGGGGCCGCAGGGCGCGGGUGUGAAUUGGGGAAUUCUUGGGGAAUUAUCGGGGAAUUCUUGGGGAAUUAUUGGGGAAUUAUUGGGGAGGGGUCCCGGCGGGGUGACGCGGGCACGGUUUUGUCACCUCCCCAAGGGAGCAGCCCCGGUUCUGCCCAGCCUGGGGUGGGGGGCACCGGGCGGGUCCAGGUGUGCCACAGGUGGGCAUCAGGUGUGCCCAGGUGUGCCCAGGUAGACCCCAGGUGUGCCACAGGUGGGCAUCAGGUGGGCUCCAGGUGUACCCAGGUGUGCCCAGGUGUGCCCAGGUGUGCCCAGGUACAUCUCAGGUGUGUCCCAGGUGUGCCCAGGUACACCCCAGCGGUGCCCAGGUGUGCCCCAGAUGUGCCUAGGUAUAUCCAGGUACAUCUCAGGUGUGCACAGGUGUACACAGGUGUGCCCAGAGACACCCCAGGUGUGCCCAGGUAGACCCCAGGUGUGCCACAGGUGGGCAUCAGGUGGGCUCCAGGUGUACCCAGGUGUGCCCAGGUGUGCCCAGGUACAUCUCAGGUGUGUCCCACCUGUGCCCAGGUACACCCCAGCA